AUCAGGUGGGCUACGUGGUUGGGUUGCAGCCGGGCCAAAUCUUCUCAUAUUUUUAGUAGAUAGUUCUUCUCGCGACGGCUGCUGACCGGCUUCCAUGAUGUAGAGGAGGCCAUCCCCGAAGUUGAGGCAGUGGAGCUACGUCGCGCGCUUGUGAACAUUCAAGGGAAGCGUCACGAGGUCACGGGCGAGCGCGACUGGCUGGGGAAGGAGUUGGAGGUUGUGUGCGUGGUGACGGAGCAGUUGAAGUCCCCCCCAUGUGGCGGAGUUGGAGCGGCUUGUGGCGGCUCUCCACUAGAAGGCGGCGGACAAGAAGGACGCAUCGAGGACAUCGGCUACAAGGGGGCAGGAGGCGGAAACUCUUCGUGUUAAGGUGGUUCCACUCGGUGGGGAGCUUCGCAAGGUGGAGGCGGGCAAGGCAAAGAUGGAGAGGUAGGCGGCCGCCGUAGUCAAGCUCUUCCACGAGGUGGACGAGUCCUUCAUCGCCCACUUCCCAGAGACUCAGCAGCGGGCGGAGCGAGCCAUCACGCAGCACCGGGCAAAGCUCUGUCGGGGUAGCAUAGAAGUGGAUGAGAGCACAAGUUGGGUGAUGGAGGACGUGGCCCUUGCCUGUGAGGUCUGCCUGACCCACAUGAAGGCGUUCAUGAAGCGGUUCCACACGGAGAGUGAGGGCCUCAUCGAGGCUCUCUCUCUUGGUCAGAUGUCCUGGGGUAUUUUGAUGCGCGGACGGUGUUGGUAGCGCGAGGUGGCACAUGGAUGGACUUGUCCUUCACCCUCUCCUGGUAUUCAGGCAUCAACCUUGGCCAGCUCGCGAGUGUACAGUUGGAGGUGCGAACCGACUUGGCAUAGCACGACGAUGCCAUCACCCUUCGGGCCAACAAGCUUCCUAGUUACGCGUCUUUGAACGGGCCUGUCACCGAGGAUCAGUUUGGUGUCCCUCUUGGCUACGAUAAUGAGUACGACAACGAAGAGGUCGGCUCCAGCUCGGGGGCACCUGUUGCCGAAGACAUGGCGGGCGAGGUAUACACCGGCGGGGCUGCGGCAUCCUCUACGAGAAAUGCGGUGCCGCUGACUGGUAACGCAGAAGUGUGCCAGCAGACUCCACCGACGAGAGGGGCGACUGUGGGCCAACAACCUCCGUUGGCGGGCGAUGUGGACAAGGGCUAACAGCCUCCGCCAGCCGUCUAGGGCCUUUCUUUUUCCUGCUUUCACUCUUUAACUUUUGUAAUAAACAAGUACACACACUUGGGGUGUAUGGUUAUUGUAAUGCACUCUUGGCCUCGUGUCGCUUUCUUCA